UUUAUCCACAGAAUAGGUAAAGGUUGGGCAGCUGCAGGGCAAACUUCUGCCCCAUACCACCUUGGCCAAUGUGCCUUAACCUUGACCUGGAGAGGACAACUUUAAUGAUGAG
rnacentral:sRNA from 1 species